UACGUAGGGUGCGAGCGUUGUCCGGAAUUAUUGGGCGUAAAGAGCUCGUAGGCGGUUUGUUGCGUCUAUCGUGAAAACCUGCGGCUUAACUGUGGGCUUGCGGUGGAUACGGGCAGACUUGAGUUCGGUAGGGGAGACUGGAAUUCCUGGUGUAGCGGUGAAAUGCGCAGAUACCAGGAGGAACACCGGUGGCGAAGGCGGGUCUCUGGGCCGAUACUGACGCUGAGGAGCGAAAGCGUGGGGAGCGAACAGG
rnacentral:rRNA from 1 species